rnacentral:rRNA from 1 species
CCUCCUACGGGUAGGCUAGCGAGUGGAGGAAUAUUGCACAAUGGGGGAAACCCUGCAUGCAGCAACGCCGCGUGGAGGAUGCACGCAUUUCGGUGUGUAACACUCCUUUUAUUCAAGGAAGAAAAUGACGGUACUUGAAUGCAAUAAGCACCGGCUACUUCCGUGCACGACGCC